CCCAAACCUAAGGUGCAUCAGGCUAUCCCAGUAGAGAUGAAAGAGUCGAUGAAGCUACAGACUCUUCAGGCGGCCACAACAUUGACUGGUGCCAUCAUCCAGCAUGAGACAUCAUUAGCACACCCUAUUGUAUUGGAUGGUGAGCUAUUAGGUGGCGACAGAGAGCCCAUCCAACAUAUGUGUGUCAGUUGCUUGGAGAUAUGCUCGGGGAUAGAUGAUGUAGCCGGUGCAGAUGUAUCCUCAUCUCAUCUGUGCAUGAUUUGCGGGAGUAGAUGUUAGGCCCACAUGGUUGAGGAUUUCACACUGACAGAUGAGUUGAUAGACAUGGUGUUUGCCCAUGAGCCACAAACACAGGUGUGUUGAUUUUAAUUCAUAGCAUUUUAUUUAUCAAUCACUUUAAAUUUGUAACUAAAUAAAUGAAUUUUCAUUUAUACAUCGAUUUAAAUUGAGACAUAAUAUGCAUUUCAAGAUGCAGCAGCGGUAUCCCAUACUCCUCCCCUAGUUACUAUAGCUGCAACUUCGAUGCCUGAGGUAUAAAUUUUGUAACAUGUUAAAAUAGAAUAGUACACUCUGAAUUCAAAAAAUACAAUAUCUACUAACUAUCUUUAAUGCUUGGUCCAAUUUAUGGUUUGUAGGUGUUGACAGGGAAUGAAAUGUCCCAGAUUGAUGACAUCACGCUCUCAGCGAUCGAUUUUGGCCUACAAGGCUAUACGGGUACCCCCUCCGCAUCUAGGGCUGGUCAUAAGAAAAAAGAUUCCUUGAAGACGCCAAAACGUAGGAAGAAGCGACCAUUGAGCUAUGUGGAUUUGUUGAAUGCACCUGAUUCGCCUGUGGAUCAAGAGAAGGC